UGCUAGGGGUGCUUAUCAGCUGAGAAAUCCUUUAUGGAUGAACCCUCAUUACUUGAACCGGGUAAUACCGGCGUAAGGAAGCGCGAUU
rnacentral:ncRNA from 1 species